GACACAAGUAAGAGGAGAAGAAUGCUGCUCAGCUGGGUCGGCGUCGGCCACACUACUUAUUCAAGAAGCCCUUGGAUAUCAUCGGCAUGUAUGAAGCACAGUCAUUCCGGUAGUCUGUUCCUCGAUGGACGUGAUGACCUGGCACCAAAACCGCUUAAUGUGUACGGAGCUGUGUCUGCAUCGAGGGAAGAACGCGGCACUGAAAUGACACAAAUGAAAGAAGAUUACUUCUGCUCUGCUGGGUCUGUGACACUAUUUAUCCGAGGAGUCCUCAAACAUCAGGAUGUAGGAAGACACAAGUAAAAGGAGAAGAAUGCUGCUCAGCUGGGUCGGCGGCCACACUACUUAUUCAAGAAGCUCUUGGAUAUCAUCGGCAUGUAUG